GUCAUCUACACCUAUCACAGCUCCACCGUCCUGUAUAUUGUACUGCGCCAUAGUACCGACAAGAAACUUAAUUAAAUUAAUAUAAUAUAUAUUCACGAGAACAUCGACCACAACGCUUGGCGUGUACAAUGGCUACUACCCAUGUUUCUGGCUCGGAAAUCGUUGUUAUGAAUAAUACAGAGUUGCCGGGUUCGCCAUUAGGCAGCCGGGCGCCAUUACAAGAUGUUCCUGGCACGAUUAGUGACCUCAGCGCUGGUGGCAGCUACAGUUGGCACUCUCCUCAGCGGUGCCACUCAAGAGGGCCAGGAGCUGAUGAAGGCCGCAAGGGAGGGUGACCUGGACGCCCUGAGGGCGCUGCUUGCCGAGGGCGCCUCCGUUCACUUCAGGGACGCCGCAGGUCAGACGGCACUGCAGGUGGGGUCGAGGAGAGGGAGUAUGGCACUCGUCAAGGCACUGCUGGAACUCAACGCCGACGUCGACCACUCCGACAAUUGGGGCAAGACGCCCCUGCACGAGGCUGCCUGGUUUGGACGUCAGGACGUAGUCGAGGUCCUGCUCCAGGGAGACGCUGACCUCACCGCCACCGACGAUCAUGGUAAGGGGCCGCUGCACGAGGCUGCGUGGCUGGGUCGGGACGAGGUCGUCGAGACGCUACUGGACCACGACGCAGACGUCGCCGCUGUGGACAACAACGGUCAGACGCCCUUGCACUAUGCAGCAGAGCAGCAGAAGGCUCUGGUGGCGGAGUUGCUGCUCGCUAAACAGGCUGACACUGAGGCUAAAGACUUGGAAGGACUCACACCACUCCACUACGCCGCGUGGUUUGGGCGGACUGAGGUCGUGGCUGUGCUGUUGAAUCACGGCGCUGACAUCUCUGCCAGGGAUAACUUAGGUCAAUCUCCACUCCACUACGCCGUCGACCACAAGGAGCUGGGCGUGGCCACAAUGCUCCUUAACCACGGCGCCGACCCAGACGCCAUCGACAACAACGGAAACACAGUGCUACACUUGGCCGUUCGAGACAGGAACGUUAAUAUGAUCAAGAUUCUGUUGCUUUUCUGCCCAAAUUUGACCCUUCGUAACCACCAGGGUAAGGGAGCAGCAGACGUCGCCCAGGAGAGAGGACUGUACGCCAUGGCCACCCUUAUACAAGGACAGAGGUCGACGAAGUGUGUGGUGGAGGGCACCUCCUGCCUGUCGGAGGGCGGCUCAGGUGUGGCUCCCCUGCGUCACCUCACCUGCAGGACAGGCACCUGGAGGCCCCCGGCACAUCCCCUCGCUCCAGACAGCCUUGACUGCAAGGUCUCUGGGCAGUUGUUUCGACACGGGUCUCGCUGGCAUGACGGCUGUCGGGAAAACAGAUGUGUCCGAGGACAGGUGUGGAAGGACGAGGAAGUGGCAGAUACAUGCUGCCUGGUGGAGGACGAGGAGCACCGCCCGGGGUCCACCUGGCUAGAGGGUUGCCUGCUCCUGGGUUGUGAUGCAGGCCACGCCACCACCCUCGCCCUCUCCGCCUCCUGUUGUCGGGGAGGUGACGGCCAGGUGUAUCCCGAAGGCCACACCUGGCCCGAGGGUUGCCAUCUGCAGGUGUGUCAAGAUGGACGGCCAACACCCACAGACGUCUUACCCUCCUGUUGCAGUGUGAGAGGUGAGGUACACGGUGAGGGGUCCCGCUGGACCCUAGGCUGCUUCCACCUGGUGUGUGAGGAAGGUCAGACACGUCGAGACGGUCUUCUCUUUGCCUGUAAGAUGUUAUUCCUGGUGGUGGUGGUGGCGGUGGCGGGGGCUGUCGUGUCUGUGGUCCUGGCCAUCUCCGUCUACCGCACUAGAAGAACCCGACUCCCUCGCCAGGGUCUCGAACCCAAGCCUCAGGUGCAGCUCCCGUCCUUCCCGGAACACAACAAGCAGAUGUCCAAGAAGAUCCUGGAGACAGAUCACUGGAAGACUUCGAGGCAGCUCAGAAGUCGCAGUGAAGAGUGAGAUAGAUGUGGUGGUGGAUCUUACAUCUCGGAAGAUAAAGCUCACAGGACUGUGUUGCAGCGUCAGAAGACUUCUUACAGCUAGUUCUUACAAGCUAGAGUUUGAUGCACGAAAGGGCGUGUGAUAUGAGUGACGGUUUGAGGGGAGACUCGCCCAUCCGCACCCUGGUGUGACCAGCAGUGAGAAGAUCGUUGCUGAUUGAUUGAUUGGUAAAGAUUAAGCUGCCCAAUAAAGGUGGCACAGGCAUGAAUAACCCGUAAGAUCGUUGCUCUUCGUGGCUGACGUGUUUGUGUUACAUAUACCACACAUUCAGGUUAUGUGUGAUAUAUAUGUAUUGUAGUAAUGAUUUGUAUAUAUAUAAUAUGUGAUUUUCGUGAGUAUCUGAUUGAAACUUCCAUGUCUCUUACCUAACCAAUUGAAGUGAACGGUAGAGCGACGGUCUCACUUCUUGCAGGCCGGCGUUCAAUCCCCGACCGUCCAAGUGGUUGGUCACCAUUCAUUCCCUCAAUCCUUCUCAUCCCUCUUAUCUAUUCCAAGUGCUAUGUAUAGUCGUAAUGGUUUAUAGUGCUUCCUCCUGAUAACUACCUUACCUCCCGUGUCCCCUUUGAGUGCUGCAGUGAUAGGUAACAGUUUAACUAGGUCAUAAAUAUGUGAAGUAUGGGUUGUUCUUGCCUUAACCUGGAGUCACUCAACUGGACGACCAUGUCCUUCUGUCUUGACUGAGAUUGUGUACACCGUUGAGUAAAGAGAAUCACACCGUGUGUUAAGAUUAAGUUACUUAGUAAAUUAACUGUUAAAUGAGCACA
rnacentral:misc_RNA from 1 species